rnacentral:rRNA from 1 species
UACGUAGGGUGCUAGCGUUGUCCGGAUUUAUUGGGCGUAAAGAGUGUGUAGGCGGCCAGGUAGGUCUGGUGUGAAAACUCGAGGCUUAACCUCGAGAUGUCAUCGGAAACCAUCUGGCUAGAGUCCGGAAGAGGAGAGUGGAAUUCCUGGUGUAGCGGUGAAAUGCGCAGAUAUCAGGAAGAACACCGAUGGCGAAAGCAGCUCUCUGGGACGGUACUGACGCUGAGACGCGAAAGCGUGGGGAGCGAACAGG